UUGAAUUUUUAUACGACGUGUCUUCGAAAAAAAAAAUCCUGAGGUUUUGCCUCCAAUCAGGCUUUUUCAAAAUAGAGGAGCCGCGGGAGAUUUUAUGUGCUGAAGAACAUGACAGAGCAGAACAACGAAUACAGCAAUACUCCACCUCAGCAUCAGGGUCAUGGCACAGUUGAGUCCGCUGCCAGAAACUUGGUGUCAUUAUUACUGAACACAAUGGCCACAAACAGUGUCCAAAGGCCUGCAGAGACUGUACAACCACAGCCAAGAAAUGUAACUGUGCAACAAGAGUUAGCAAGAUCUUUCCCAGGGUAUUUUAAAUCCCAGUUCAAUCGUGGUAAAAAGAGGUGUUUAACUCCCACCAAGCGACUUAAGACAACUAAUAAGACCAUCGCCUUCAAUUUUUCUCUGCUGUCAAAAAACACAUCCCACACACCUAUACCAGCAGAGGAACUUGAACUUCUCCAAGCUGGCAUGGGAUGACAAACAGUGUGUCUUCCUGAAGACAGUGACCAUGCAGAGAUUUCAAGGCUCUUGACUGUAACCUUUCCAAAAAUGGAGGAUCUUUGUGGAGGAUGGCUCUUGCAUAAAGCAGCAGAUUUG